GUCAUUACUCAUGGUUACACAGAACUAAGCAAAAAGUGUUGGGCAGAAGAGAAUGAAAUUGACACAAUUAAAGUACUGAAAGAAAAA